GACGAACGCUGGCGGCGUGCUUAACACAUGCAAGUCGAACGGUGAAGCGCCUUCCUUUUUGGUGGGUGUGGAUGAGUGGCGAACGGGUGAGUAACACGUGAGUAACCUGCCCCCUUCUUCUGGAUAACCGCAUGAAAGUGUGGCUAAUACGGGAUAUUCUGGGUCUGUCGCAUGAUGGGUCUGGGAAAGAUAUUGUUUCGGUGGGGGAUGGGCUCGCGGCCUAUCAGCUUGUUGGUGGGGUGAUGGCCUACCAAGGCGGUGACGGGUAGCCGGCCUGAGAGGGUGGACGGUCACACUGGGACUGAGACACGGCCCAGACUCCUACGGGAGGCAGCAGUGGUGAAUAUUGCACAAUGGGCGCAAGCCUGAUGCAGCGACGCCGCGUGAGGGAUGGAGGCCUUCGGGUUGUGAACCUCUUUCGCCAGUGAAGCAGGCCUGCCUCGUUUGUGGGUGGGUUGACGGUAGCUGGAUAAGAAGCGCCGGCUAACUACGUG
rnacentral:rRNA from 1 species